UCGGAAUUACUGGGCGUAAAGCGCGCGUAGGCGGCUUUGUAAGUCGGAUGUGAAAGCCCUGGGCUCAACCUGGGAAUGGCAUUCGAUACUGCAGAGCUAGAGUAUGGUAGAGGGAAGUGGAAUUUCCGGUGU
rnacentral:rRNA from 1 species